rnacentral:rRNA from 1 species
UAUUCCUACGGGGUGCAGCAGUAGGGAAUCUUCCACAAUGGACGAAAGUCUGAUGGAGCAACGCCGCGUGAGUGAAGAAGGGUUUCGGCUCGUAAAGCUCUGUUGUUGGAGGAGAACGUGCGUGAGAGUAACUGUUCACGCAGUGACGGUAUCCAACCAGAAAGUCACGGCUAACUACGUGCCAGCAGCCGCGGGAAUACGUAGGUGGCAAGCGUUAUCCGGAUUUAUUGGGCGUAAAGCGAGCGCAGGCGGUUGCUUAGGUGUGAUGUGAAAGCCCUUGGGUUAACCGGA